rnacentral:rRNA from 1 species
GAUGAACGCUGGCGGCGUGCCUAAUACAUGCAAGUCGAGCGAACAGAUGAGGAGCUUGCUCCUCUGACGUUAGCGGCGGACGGGUGAGUAACACGUGGAUAACCUACCUAUAAGACUGGGAUAACUUCGGGAAACCGGAGCUAAUACCGGAUAAUAUAUUGAACCGCAUGGUUCAAUAGUGAAAGACGGUUUUGCUGUCACUUAUAGAUGGAUCCGCGCCGCAUUAGCUAGUUGGUAAGGUAACGGCUUACCAAGGCAACGAUGCGUAGCCGACCUGAGAGGGUGAUCGGCCACAGUGGCACUGGGACACGGUCCCGACUCCUACGGGAGGCAGCAGUAGGGAAUCUUCCGCAAUGGGCGAAAGCCUGACGGAGCAGCGCCGCGUGAGUGAUGAAGGUCUUCGGAUCGUAAAACUCUGUUAUUAGGGAAGAACAAAUGUGUAAGUAACUAUGCACGUCUUGACGGUACCUAAUCAGAAAGCCACGGCUAACUACGUG